rnacentral:rRNA from 1 species
AGGGUUUGAUCCUGGCUCAGAGUGAACGCUGGCGGCGUGGAUAAGGCAUGCAAGUCGAGCGAUUUUCUUCGACAAGGUUUUGACAAGCUUGCUUGUUGGAGCCUUGAUGAAGAGUAAUAGCGGCAAACGGGUGAGUAACGCGUGGGUAACCUACCUUGAGGAGAAGGACAGUCCGUUGAAAGACGGAGUAAUACUUCAUGUUACCAUAGACCUUCUGGUUUAUGGUCAAAGACGGCCUAUGGCUUGCUAUGCUGUCACCUUAAGAGGGGCCCGCGUCCUAUCAGGUUGUUGGUAGGGUAACGGCCUACCAAGCCUAAGACGGGUAACUGGCAUUAGUGUGUGGUCAGUCACACCGGGACUGAGACACUGCCCGGACUCCUACGGGAGGCUGCAGUCGAGAAUCUUUCCCAAUGGACGAAAGUCUGAGGAUGCGACGCCGCGUGGGGGAUGAAGCGUUUCGGCGUGUAAACUCCUUUUGUAAGGGAGGAAAGGUCUGAUGGUUAAGAGCUGGCAGAUUUUGACUGUACCUUACGAAUAAGCCACGGCUAACUCCGUGCCAGCAGCCGCGGUAAUACGGAGGUGGCAAGCGUUACUCGGUUUGAUUGGGUGUAAAGGGUCCGCAGGCGGCCUUAUAAGUGAAAGGUGAAAUCCACUAGCUUAACUAGUGAACUGCCUUUCAAACUGUCUGGCUUGAGGUUGGAAGAGGAGAGCGGAACUGCCAGUGUAAGGGUGAAAUCUGUGGAUAUUGGCAGGAACGUCCGUGACGAAGGUGGCUCUCUGGCCCAUACCUGACGCUCAGGGACGAAAGCUAGGGGAGCAAACAGGAUUAGAUACCCUGGUAGUCCUAGCUGUAAACGAUGGGCACUAGGUGUUUCCGUCUUAGACGGGGGUGCCGCAGCUAACGCAUUAAGUGCCCCACCUGGGGACUACGGCCGCAAGGCUAAAACUCAAAGGAAUUGACGGGGGCCCGCACAAGCGGUGGAACACGUGGUUUAAUUCGAUGCUACGCGAGGAACCUUACCAGGGCUUGACAUGCUAGAAGUAACCGCCCGAAAGGGUGGGUGACCUGUAACCAAUCAGGAACUAGCACAGGUGCUGCAUGGCUGUCGUCAGCUCGUGCCGUGAGGUGUUCCCUUAAGUGGGAAAACGAGCGCAACCCUCGCUCUUAGUUGCCAUCGCUCCGGCUUUUGUCGGAGGCUGGGCACUCUAAGGGGACUGCCUACGUUAAGUAGGAGGAAGGCGGGGACGACGUCAAGUCCGCAUGGCCCUUAUGUCCUGGGCUACACACGUGUUACAAUGGCGCGUACAACGGGAGGCUAAGCCGCGAGGUGGAGCAAAUCCUAUAAAGCGCGCCUCAGUUCGGAUUGAAGGCUGCAACUCGCCUUCAUGAAGCUGGAAUCGCUAGUAAUGGCGCAUCAGCUACGGCGCCGUGAAUACGUUCCCGGGCCUUGUACACACCGCCCGUCAAGCGCUGAAAAUGGGAGGCGCCCGAAGCCCCGUUUAUUCGAGGUCACGGUGAAGUUCAUGAUUGGCGCUAAGUCGGAACAAGGUA